rnacentral:rRNA from 1 species
UACGUAGGAGGCGAGCGUUGUCCGGAAUUACUGGGUGUAAAGCGCGUGUAGGCGGCUCGGUAAGUCUGCUCUGAAAGCCCGGGGCUCAACCCUGGGAGGCGGGUGGAUACUGCUGAGCUCGAGUCCGGAAGAGGCGAGUGGAAUUCCUGGUGUAGCGGUGAAAUGCGCAGAUAUCAGGAGGAACACCAAUGGCGAAGGCAGCUCGCUGGGACGGUACUGACACUGAGGAGCGAAAGCGUGGGGAGCGAACAGG